rnacentral:rRNA from 1 species
GGGCGCACGCGCGCUACACUGACAGAGCCAGCGAGUCUACCACCUUUGCCGGAAGGCAUGGGUAAUCUUGUGAAACUCUGUCGUGCUGGGGAUAGAACAUUGCAAUUGUUGUUCUUCAACGAGGAAUGCCUAGUGAGCGUGAUUCGUCAGAUCGCGUUGAUUACGUCCC